rnacentral:rRNA from 1 species
UACGGGGGGAGCAAGCGUUGUUCGGAUUUAUUGGGCGUAAAGAGCUCGUAGGCGGCUCAGUAAGUCAGGUGUGAAACCUCCAGGCUCAACCUGGAGACGCCACCUGAUACUGCUGUGGCUAGAGUCCGGUAGGGGAGCGUGGAAUUCCUGGUGUAGCGGUGAAAUGCGCAGAUAUCAGGAGGAACACCAGCGGCGAAGGCGGCACUCUGGGCCGGUACUGACGCUGAGGAGCGAAAGCGUGGGGAGCGAACAGG